AGCACCGGCUAACUACGUGCCAGCAGCCGCGGUAAUACGUAGGGUGCAAGCGUUAUCCGGAAUUAUUGGGCGUAAAGGGCUCGUAGGCGGUUCGUCGCGUCCGGUGUGAAAGUCCAUCGCUUAACGGUGGAUCCGCGCCGGGUACGGGCGGGCUUGAGUGCGGUAGGGGAGACUGGAAUUCCCGGUGUAACGGUGGAAUGUGUAGAUAUCGGGAAGAACACCAAUGGCGAAGGCAGGUCUCUGGGCCGUUACUGACGCUGAGGAGCGAAAGCGUGGGGAGCGAACAGGAUUAGAUACCCUGGUAGUCCACGCCGUAAACGGUGGGCGCUAGGUGUGGGGAACAUUUCCACGUUCUCCGUGCCGUAGCUAACGCAUUAAGCGCCCCGCCUGGGGAGUACGGCCGCAAGGCUAAAACUCAAAGGAAUUGACGGGGGCCCGCACAAGCGGCGGAGCAUGCGGAUUAAUUCGAUGCAACGCGAAGAACCUUACCUGGGCUUGACAUGUUCCCGACAGCCGUAGAGAUAUGGCCUCCCUUCGGGGCGGGUUCACAGGUGGUGCAUGGUCGUCGUCAGCUCGUGUCGUGAGAUGUUGGGUUAAGUCCCGCAACGAGCGCAACCCUCGCCCUGUGUUGCCAGCACGUCAUGGUGGGAACUCACGGGGGACCGCCGGGGUCAACUCGGAGGAAGGUGGGGAUGACGUCAGAUCAUCAUGCCCCUUACGUCCAGGGCUUCACGCAUGCUACAAUGGCCGGUACAACGGGAUGCGACACGGCGACGUGGAGCGGAUCCCUGAAAACCGGUCUCAGUUCGGAUUGGAGUCUGCAACCCGACUCCAUGAAGGCGGAGUCGCUAGUAAUCGCGGAUCAGCAACGCCGCGGUGAAUGCGUUCCCGGGCCUUGUACACACCGCCCGUCAAGUCAUGAAAGUGGGUAGCACCCGAAGCCGGUGGCCCAACCUUUUGGGGGGAGCCGUCUAAGGUGAGACUCGUGAUUGGGACUAAGUCGUAACAAGGUAGCCGUACCGGAAGGUGCGGCUG
rnacentral:rRNA from 1 species